GCGAUCACACCAGCACUGAUGCACCAGAUCCCAUCAGAAUUCUGCAGUUAAGCGUGCUUUGACAAUAGUAGUACUAGCAUAGGUGACCCUUUGGAAGUUUUCGUGUUACACCUU